rnacentral:sRNA from 1 species
AGGCUGCCGCUGCCGCUGCAGCAGCCGCCGCAGCAGCAGCUGCCGCAGCGGCAGCGGCAGCCU